rnacentral:lncRNA from 1 species
GAGAAGAGGAGAGAGAGGAGGAAACACCACGCAAACACCAUCCACCGCCGCCACAAGGAGGAAAAACGGAGAGAAGAUUGGAUCUACAAAAAGUCACGCGAAGCGGAGCACCAGAGGAGAGGGAAACCUCCUAAGCUGAUCGGCUUGGAGGUGCCCAGGCCCAUCGGCUUGGGGAUUUCCUGCCCCCGUUCGUCGUCGUGUUCGGUCCAGUUGAUCUAUAGGGCGAU